AAGUCGUAACAAGGUUUCCGUAGGUGAACCUGCGGAAGGAUCAUUACAGUAUAUUGAAUUCUUAUUCAUAUCAACCCACACUGUGUACCUUUUAUCUGUUGCUUUCAUGGGACAUGGCUCUGCCACGUCGGCCUUCGGGCUGGUGAGUUCCCAUGGAAGGAAACCCAAUACUCUUUUUAUUUUUGACAUCUGUCUGAAUAGUUUUUAUAAACGUUAAAACUUUCAACAACGGAUCUCUUGGUUCUC
rnacentral:misc_RNA from 1 species